AUAUAUGCUUGUAUCAUAUUGGCUCUUCAGAGCAUACUCGUUGUAGACUGAGGCCAACGAUGGAACAGUUACAAAUAUAAGUGUGUAAACAUAUGCACCCGUUGCAAGUGGAAGGCCCAUUGCAGUACUACCUUCAGGUAAAGAACGCAGCUGAUUUAUACUAAUCCCAAUGAGCAACAAAGCAAGAGCCUCCCACUGAAGAACAGAAAAUCGGCGUCUCAUUAUUAUCUUUAGCAACACAGCAAUCACCAAAACCUUCAGAUUGCUUAGCAUUUUCACUGUUGCAGGAUUGAAAUAUAACUGCAUGGUGAACUUUAGAUAAUUAUUGAUAGCAUAUAGAAAAGCUGGAACAGCUAGAAGAACAUUGUUACGAGCUGCCUGUACAAAUGUAGAAAAUGAGAGAAGAGGCUUCUCUCCAACUUUCUGAUGCCUUGCCUGGAACAAAAGCAUAACAAUCGCAAAUAGAGCCUUUGCAGCUUCUGUCANNNNNNNNNNNNNCUGGGCUAAACAUGAAUUUCCCAUCCACCUUGGACAUGUACACCAAAAUAGGCUGUAAACCGACUAGGAUGCAAUCACCAGCAACUAAGAGCACAUUGAGGGCACGUUGCUUUGAUGAUACCCUGCUCUUAUGUCGGUCAUAAGCUCUUGAAAAAGGUUUGGUAUUUGGUGAAACCAAUUUCGAAUGGCAGACGCUGCAUUCUAUCAUCCCNGUUUUUCAUUGGUUCACCCCUAUUACUAUCACACUCCUCAGUCUUCACAAAACUGAAUCUAAACCCACUUUCUCUCAACCAAUCAUUGUCCAAAACUGCCCUCCGCGCCGGUGAAAUUCCAGAACCAGAUCCACCGUUCACGCCUCCAGAACUCAAUUGUCUCUAUUUCUAUCACUUUCUCUUGCUCUCUCGCUACCUGAGAGACUCCAAUUCCAAAAGGUUGAAGAUUUUAAGGGCUCAAACGAGAACUUGAAUUCUCUGAGAAUGUUUAAAGAGAUGCGAAGAAUAUGCAC
rnacentral:misc_RNA from 1 species